rnacentral:rRNA from 1 species
AGAACGAACGCUGGCGGCAGGCUUAACACAUGCAAGUCGAACGCUCGUAGCAAUACGGGAGUGGCAGACGGGUGAGUAACGCGUGGGAACAUACCCUCCGGUUCGGAAUAGCUCAGGGAAACUUGGAUUAAUACCGGAUACGGCUGAGAGGCGAAAGAUUUAUCGCCGGAGGAUUGGCCCGCGUUCGAUUAGCUUGUUGGUGAGGUAACGGCUCACCAAGGCUAUGAUCGAUAGCUGGUCUGAGAGGAUGAUCAGCCACAUUGGGACUGAGACACGGCCCAAACUCCUACGGGAGGCAGCAGUGGGGAAUAUUGGACAAUGGGCGCAAGCCUGAUCCAGCCAUGCCGCGUGAGUGAUGACGGCCUUAGGGUUGUAAAGCUCUUUCGCUCGGGACGAUAAUGACGGUACCGAGAUAAGAAGCCCCGGCUAACUUCGUGCCAGCAGCCGC